CACUGCUAUGGGGGUCCGACUAAGCCAUGCGAGCCAUGGGGCGCGCUCUGCGCGCACCGGCGGACGGCUCAGUAACACGUCGGUAACCUACCCUCGGGAGGGGGAUAACCCCGGGAAACUGGGGCUAAUCCCCCAUAGGCCUGAGGUACUGGAAGGUCCUCAGGCCGAAAGGGGCAUCUGCCCGCCCGAGGAUGGGCCGGCGGCCGAUUAGGUAGUUGGUGGGGUAACGGCCCACCAAGCCGAAGAUCGGUACGGGCCAUGAGAGUGGGAGCCCGGAGAUGGACACUGAGACACGGGUCCAGGCCCUACGGGGCGCAGCAGGCGCGAAACCUCCGCAAUGCGGGAAACCGCGACGGGGGGACCCCCAGUGCCGUGGCAUCGCCACGGCUUUUCCGGAGUGUAAAAAGCUCCGGGAAUAAGGGCUGGGCAAGGCCGGUGGCAGCCGCCGCGGUAAUACCGGCGGCCCGAGUGGUGGCCGCUAUUAUUGGGCCUAAAGCGUCCGUAGCCGGGCCCGUAAGUCCCUGGCGAAAUCCCACGGCUCAACCGUGGGGCUUGCUGGGGAUACUGCGGGCCUUG
rnacentral:rRNA from 1 species